UUGAGCUAAGGUUCAGUGAGCCUUUUUGAGCUAAGGUUCAUUAUCGUUUUUCAUUUGGCAAUUUUUGACUUUUGUGUAGCUUCUCAAUAUUAUGAGCUCAUUUAUUCAGGACAAUAAGCUUAUUAUUAACUGAAUUCUGAAUCCUUAUGUACAUGUCUUCACGUGCAUCAUAGUCAAUAGUUUUUUUUGGUUACAAAUAACGAAAUCAUGUGUAAGACUCUUUACAUAUUUUAUCGAUCCAUUUAUUCGUGAUUGGAAGCUUGAAUUCUGAUUUUUGUAGUUCAGGAGUAGCUAGCUCCCAUGUGUUGGUGUAUUUAAAUAUUUUGUCAAUACUAGCAUAUGGUCCAGUUUAAAUAAUAUAGGUGCAAUCUCUGCAUCUUAUAACUGUAAUUACUUGUUAAUUGUCUUGCGUUCGAUUCCAGAAACUCGACGAGCUGAAUAUAUUAAGGUUAUUACAACUUAUCCUCCUUCGGGUGUUUGGAAGUUGCUGUUGACUUUGAAUUGUCUAAUGCUUUGUAUAUAUAACACACGCCCUUUUGAAUGCUAGCAGUAGACGGCGAUCUCUUCUUUUUUGUUUCUGUUUCUUAGCUUUGCACCUGGAUGCCCGCCCACUGUUUUCGUUAUCUCCAUGGUAAUGAAAAUCGAUCCCCUCAUGGAUCGCUUGAAAAAAAAUUAAGGUUAUUACAGAGAAGUACCCCUUUGUGGCCACUGUGGAGAUAACAGUUGUACCCUAGGCUCUUAAAGUCGAAUUCCUUGGCAAUUUCACUUCAGCAGUCAUGCUAAGCUGGCAGUAGCAGCUGUGCUUCGUACCAGUUGGUCUUGCUCUUUCUAGCACUCUUGCGAAAGCAUAUCGCUGUUCCAAUGCCUUCUCGGAUAUCUUGUUGCCAUCUUGGUGUGUAAGAAGCAGGGAUAUAUUUGACAUUGUAUUUGACCCACUGCCUGCUGCGUGGCUUCCCAUCCUCUGAACAUCAAAUGAAGUGACAUAAAGCCGGGAUCAACGACAUUAUGAGGGAUUAUUGUGCCUCAUGCAUGAGCUAUGUUUGAAUUGUGUAUACACUAGGCUUCACAUGUAAUUGAUUGGUCUACACAAAUAUUAUAUGUAUUCCUUUCUUAUUAAAUCUCUAAUACACAAGGCUGUUGUAAGUUGCUAGAUUUUCAAUACACAGUAGGAUCA